rnacentral:rRNA from 1 species
GGCGGCGAGCGGCGGACGGGUGAGUAAGGCAUCGGAAUCUGCCCUGAUGUGGGGGAGUAACGUAGGGAAACUUACGCUAAUACCGCAUACGACCUACGGGUGAAAGCAGGGGACCGCAAGGCCUUGCGUCGAUGGAGCGGCCGAUGUCGGAUUAGCUAGUUGGUGGGUAAAGGCUCACCAAGGCGACGAUCCGUAGCUGGUCUGAGAGGACGACCAGCCCACACUGGGACUGAGACACGGCCCAGACUCCUACGGGAGGCAGCAGUGGGGAAUCUUGGACAAUGGGCGCAAGCCUGAUCCAGCAAUGCCGCGUGUGGGAAGAAGGCCUUCGGGUUGUAAACCACUUUUGGCAGGAAAGAAAUCGUCCGUGCUAAUACCAUGGAUGGAUGACGGUACCUGCAGAAUAAGCACCGGCUAACUACGUG